rnacentral:lncRNA from 1 species
UUAUUUCUAAUGUAAUUGGUUUCAUACAAUUUGAACAUCGUAGUAAAAAUUUAUGGCCAAUUUAUUUCAGCAUAUCAAACCAGUAACUGAGGGACAGAUGCAACCUUAAUUGUUUCCUUAGUGGCAUUUUGGUCAUCUUCCACCCCUAUAUAUACCUCUUAACAUGGAAUUCAGUAUGCUUUCAUCCAAAAUAUACUCCUUUUUGACAAAUUUCUCAAGAACAACAUACCUUAACCCCAAAACAAAGAUCAAGAUCUCCCAAAAUUUAACCGUAGAAAUUCAAAGAUAAUUUAAGAUUCGGAAUCUCCAUUGUCAGAUCUAUAAAGAGAACCUACCAAUCUUACGAAUAGAGUUCCGGAAUCAAGAGUUCAUCCUGAUUCAUAAACUUGAGGUAUGAAAGUGUUGAUUUUUGGGUUCCUUCCACCCAAGAAGCUUAAGAACCCUUUUUCCUAAAUUCAAAGAUUUUAUUUUUAUGAGUUUUAUGAUUUAUGUGGUAUGAAAUUUGUAUUCUUGAUGUUUUUGAAGUUAAAUUUAUGUUGUGAUGAUAAAGACUCAAGUUUAGACCCUAGUAUGUGUUGAUCUUAAUGUGUUCAUGAUGAAGCCUUUGUAAGAAGCAUGUUGAAUUAUGUAAUUAUGUUAAUUGGUGUGAUGUUGUUAUAUGCUAAUUGACGUUGGAAAUAGUCAUAUUUUCCAUGUGUGUUGAAUCAUGAUCAUAUCAUGUUGGAAUCUUUGUGUGAUGAAUUGUUUUAUGGAGUCAUGACAUUUUGAAAUAGUAGUUGUUGAAUAACUAAAGCACGCUCCCUACAUGUUUGAUAAAAUGCUUAUAUGAAGAAAAUAGUACCAUUGUAGAAUGUUAAGUAUAAAAUGUAUGAUGUUUAUGAUAAAUCCUUCAAGAUUAGUUGAUUUCAUAGAUUUUAUAUUAAAUCUAAGUCAGACAUUAAUUAUGAUGUAAGAUUGAGUUUAAUUCCAUGAUUUACCUCAAGAUUCAUGAAAAUUAAUUAGUUGUGGUACGAUUUAUGUAACUACAAGUUGGAUGAAGAAUCCAUGAGUGGAUAUAAGUGUAUUCAUGAUUAUAUUGUUGAUUGAAUUUAUAACCCAUGACUAAGUGUAUGAUUUAUGUGAAAUUAAAAAUUAUUAUGUAUGUAGUACUAUGUGAACUCAUAUUAGAGCUUUGAGAUGGUGAACUUGGUGUUGGAAUUGUCAUAUUAAGUAUUGAUUAGUAUUAUGAUUAAAUACUAUUUCCAAGUAUACGAUGAAUGGUUGAGUGAAUUAAACAAGAUAAAUUAUAUCAUAUAAACAUGUGUACUAGUUCAUGCCAUUCAAGUGUUUGAUAAAGUGCUCAUGUAAAGAAAAUAGAGUCAUUAUAAUAUGUUGCCAAGAAAUUCCCAAGCUAUGUAUAAGCUAAGCAUGCCAAGUGGUUGUUAAAAAGCUUUAGUGAAUGGAUGGUAAGAUGUUAACAUGAAAUCCUUAAUUAUGUACCUUGAAUGCAUGUUAUGUGUUUAUUGCAAGAUCUUUUGGAAUGAGUUAUGAAGUGUUGGGUUGCAUUUCCUAUAAAAAUACAUGUUAGUAUUUCCAAGUGCUUAAAGUGAUGUUUUACUGAGCAUAUUGUAAUGACGUUGAUGUGAUGUUAGUCAUAUAUUCAAGAGUCGAGUCCUGUCUGUUUCCUUCCAUCGAGUUCUGGGGGUACUUGUACCCAAAAAAAUAUAGUUAUGUGCCUAGAGUUGAGUCAAUCUCAAGAUAAUCUGAGUCAUGCUAUGAUCAGUAGAACUCAGUCAGUGACUGAACAAUAAGAAAACUCAGUAAUCUCAGUAUUCAGUCUAAUCAAGCUCAGUACUCAAUUCAGAUAUCACCAGUAUUUAGUAUCCAGUUAAAAUUUUAGUAAAAAUCAGUAAGAUAUGAUAUUCAGUAGUAUUUCGUAAGAUACAAAACCAAGCGAAAUUAGUUAAAUCAGGAAAGUAAUAUGAUCAGUAACAGAUUCAGCUCAAUCUAAGCUCAGUUAAGAAUCAAUUUAGUGUCUUUCAGUUGGAAGUAGGAAUCAGCACUGAGUGAGCUCAAGGAUGGAAACUCACCUACUAGUAGAGAGUAUGAUUCUUAGAAGCAAUCCUUGUUCUCCAGAACUAUGUAGCCAGCGUAGGUUGAGACAUCAUACCUGCUAGUUGAGGGUAGAUAAGGUGGCUUGACCUGUUAGAUAAAGGCUUCACCAUUCUCAUUUGAGUACCUGAUAAAUGAGGGUUACAUAAAGUUGUCUUUACCAGUGGCGCGGUACUGACACCCUUCUAACUGGGGCAUAGAUUGGACCCCGACUUAGCUAGGCAGGGCAUGUCGGUUAGAUGUCUACUUCCCACAGUCUCAGUUUCAGAAUCAGUCUUAGACUUCAAGAAAGAGCUCAGUACAGUGUAUAGAAUUCAAGGUCGUUAGAUACAGGCCAUCAAGUAUAAUUAUUUGCAAAUUCAAAGAUCCACUGCUAGAUAGGCCGACCUCAAAAUUAGUUAUCAAGUAGUAUUAUUAUCCAUAGAUUCAGAGACUACCUGCUAGAUGGGAUUGAUCUCAGAUUGAGUUAAUCAUUCUUAUUAUUAGUAGAUUUAGAGACAACCUGUUAGAUAGGGUUGCUAUCAAUUUCAGAAGCUUCAGAUACUCGUAAUCUUAGUAUGUUCAAAAAUUUCAGAAUAUCAGUAUAUUCAGUAUCAGUUAUCGGAGUUAGUCCGAGUAUGCUCAGUGACAGUAUGUGCAGUAUGUCCAGUAAUUAUAGAUUAUGCAUACUAAUCCAGCUCUUGCAUAUUAUUCAGUUAAGUUAUGUUCAUGCAUAAGCCCUUGCAUUUAGCCUUACCUCAUUUGCGUACUCAGUAUAUUCCAACGUACUAAUGCAUUUGUGCUAUGGUGUUGUAAUUUUAUUUGACACCAUAGAUUCAGAGACACGAGUUCCAGAUCAGCAGUAGCAAUUCAGUACCCAGUAGUGAGUCCUCAUAUUCUGAGGAUGGAUUAUUAUUUCAGCAUAUUAUUAUAUUUAGUUUAUUUUAUUAGAUGGAGUUAGUUGGGGACAUGUCUCAUCAACUCCAUAGUUUAGACUGUUA